rnacentral:rRNA from 1 species
UGGGAGCACCCUUUGGGGUGUGACUGCGUACCUUUUGUAUAAUGGGUCAGCGACUUAUAUUCUGUAGCAAGGUUAACCGUAUAGGGGAGCCGGAGGGAAACCGAGUCUUAACCGGGCGUUAAGUUGCAGGGUAUAGACCCGAAACCCGGUGAUCUAGCCAUGGGCAGGUUGAAGGUUGGGUAACACUAACUGGAGGACCGAACCGACUAAUGUUGAAAAAUUAGCGGAUGACCUGUGGCUGGGGGUGAAAGGCCAAUCAAACCGGGAGAUAGCUGGUUCUCCCCGAAAGCUAUUUAGGUAGCGCCUCGUGAAUUCAUCUCCGGGGGUAGAGCACUGUUUCGGCUAGGGGGCCAUCCCGGCUUACCAACCCGAUGCAAACUGCGAAUACCGGAGAAUGUUAUCACGGGAGACACACGGCGGGUGCUAACGUCCGUCGUGAAGAGGGAAACAACCCAGACCGCCAGCUAAGGUCCCAAAGUCAUGGUUAAGUGGGAAACGAUGUGGGAAGGCCCAGACAGCCAGGAUGUUGGCUUAGAAGCAGCCAUCAUUUAAAGAAAGCGUAAUAGCUCACUGGUCGAGUCGGCCUGCGCGGAAGAUGUAACGGGGCUAAACCAUGCACCGAAGCUGCGGCAGCGACGCUGAUGCGUUGUUGGGUAGGGGAGCGUUCUGUAAGCCUGCGAAGGUGGCCUGUGAGGGUUGCUGGAGGUAUCAGAAGUGCGAAUGCUGACAUAAGUAACGAUAAAGCGGGUGAAAAGCCCGCUCGCCGGAAGACCAAGGGUUCCUGUCCAACGUUAAUCGGGGCAGGGUGAGUCGACCCCUAAGGCGAGGCCGAAAGGCGUAGUCGAUGGGAAACGGGUUAAUAUUCCCGUACUUGGUGUUACUGCGAAGGGGGGACGGAGAAGGCUAUGUUGGCCGGGCGACGGUU